AUUCUACUCCCUUCGUUGCACAAUACAUGCCUUCUAUUUGUCAAAAUAUAUAUGUAUCUAGACAUGUUUUAGUAUAUAGGUACAUCCAUUUUUGGACAAAUGGAAGUCAAGUAUGAACGGAGGGAGUACACA
rnacentral:pre_miRNA from 1 species